AGGACGAACGCUGGCGGCGUGCUUAACACAUGCAAGUCGAGCGGAAAGGCCCUUCGGGGUACUCGAGCGGCGAACGGGUGAGUAACACGUGAGCAACCUGCCCUUAGCUUCGGGAUAGCUCCGGGAAACCGGAAUUAAUACCGGAUAUGACUAUGGCCGACAUCAGCCAUGGUGGAAAGUUUUUCGGCUAGGGAUGGACUCGCGGCCUAUCAGCUAGUUGGUGAGGUAACGGCUCACCAAGGCGACGACGGGUAGCCGGCCUGAGAGGGCGACCGGCCACACUGGGACUGAGACACGGCCCAGACUCCUACGGGAGGCAGCAGUGGGGAAUAUUGCGCAAUGGGCGAAAGCCUGACGCAGCGACGCCGCGUGGGGGAUGAAUGCCUUCGGGUUGUAAACCCCUUCAGCAGGGACGAAGCGAAAGUGACGGUACCUGCAGAAGAAGCGCCGGCUAACUACGUGCCAGCAGCCGC
rnacentral:rRNA from 1 species